CACUCACCGGCUUGUCCCGCCUCUUCCCUGGCAGGAUUGGUAGCCGUUUCCCAUCGUUGCAGUGAUUGACAGGUGAGGAAACCGGGACUCACCUGGGCCAGGGUCACAGUGCCCGGAAGCAGUGGCGUCUGAAUACGUCCACUUUCCACAUUGCCCAUCCUGAUGGCAGACGUCCCCAGAACCCGGCCUGGUCCCUCAGGACAGAGAGAGAGGAACCGGCAUGUCAUUUAGGAGUCUCCAUGGCUGAACCCGAUCCCUCUGUCUUAGUAUGUUUUCUGUUGCUUAUAACAGAAUACCUGAAACUGGGUGAUUUAUAAGAAAUGGAAUUUGUUUCUUGCAGUUGUGGAGGCUGGGAGGUGCAAGGUACAGGGGCCCCGUCUGUGAGGGUCUUCGUGCUGGUGGGGACCCUCUGCAGGGUCCCAGGGCCCUGAGGUGAUGCAGGGCAUCAUCACAUGGGGCUAAGCCUGCUACUCAGGUCUCUCCUCCUUUCCUUAUAAAGCCACCAUUUUCCCUCCCAUGGUCACCUAUUCAUUACCUGGGCAGACUUCUCAGGAGCCUGUCACCUCUUAAAGGCCCACCCCUCAGGACUGCCGUGUCAAGGACCAGUUUCAGCAGGACUUUGGAGAGGACAAACAUUCAGACCACAGCACAUCCCUGCCUCUCCUCCCACCAGGCCACUCCUCAGCACCGAGUCAGCCUCGUAGUUCAUGCCUCAUUUUGUUCAGGCUGUUCCCUUUGGGCACUGAUGCCAUUCCCUCCCUGGUAUAAACACUGAGAUGCUACUGAACCUUCAGGGCUCGUGCCAGAUGCCAUGGCUUCAAGAGAUUCUUUCCUCCCUUGGAAUGGGGAUCUUCCUUUGGCCACCACGGCAUUUCGCUAGCACACUGACUCUAGCACUUGUGUUGCCAUUGGUGUUCUCAGGCACCCUCGUUGCUGCAGGCCUCCCAGCAUGUGGCCAGGCUCCAGGCAUCUGGGAGAUAACAUCCCAUCUCCCAGAGGCGCUCUCCACCCCUACCGCCCUAAGACUUCCCUUCUGCCACUGCUCCCUCCUGCACCUGACCCAGGUACGCAGGUCUCACUCGUUCCAUUCCUUGUAGCGCCCGGUGUGGCGUUUCGUGCACAGUUGUGUUCAAGGUUAAGUUAGCGAGAAAGUACGAAGUGACGAGUGGGGGAAGCUCGUUCUCUCCCGGACACAGCAGAUUUGUCUUUGUAGCCCCACCAGGAAGUAUGUUUGUAAGACAAUUUAAACCUGAAUUAAUCAAUUGUAAGUCGUAGUUUAUAUAGUGCUUUCUGCAUAGAUCAAAUCGAAUCGGUCUUGUUUUCUUACUCUAGCAGGGCACAGUUGUUACGAGUAUUCGGAACCCUCAGGAGAGGCAAGUCCCCUUAAAGACAUAUAUAUGCACGUACAUGAUUUAAGAAAUAUACCUUCUACUCUGCCCGUCUCAGCUCCCUCCUGCCCAGCAAGGUGACACACUACCAGGCAGUCCCUGUAAAGAAAGAAGAAAGGUGUCUAUAUUUACUUGGGAACCUACAGGCUAUAAGAAAACCCUUUAUUUUGACGGUUCAUAAGACAUUUGCCAUAUUUACGAUGCGUGUUUGCUACGUUCCUGCAGUUAUUCUUCCCUGUGUUUAGAGAAACAUCCUUCAUAAUUGCCAUGGUGUAUCUGCGUGUCAUCCAGAGCUCCGCGUAGACUGACGGCAAAGUCAGUGGAUGGAUUGGCAUCAUUAUUUCCACUAACUUGUGAAAUUUCCACUGCCAUAUGAAAGAGAGACUUCCUUUGCAGACGGUCCACACUGGAGGUAUGUGGCCUUGAUUCUCCCCCAGGCUGAGGCCGUGGCAAGACCACGACAGGCUCUUAGCGGGGGGUGCAACUGAGUCAGUCCCGCUGCUUCCAGGAAUCACAGGGGCACCAGAAUCACUUCCUUGGGUUGCUGCCACCUUAAUCACCCGGUGGUUUCUUGGUUUGUGUUCUCAAUGCACGAAAGCUUAUAAUCAUUUUUAUGAUCACCUCCAACUUUACAAACGCAUGCAGAGAAACACGAGCUGAGCACGCCGCUGGGUCGGCCAACUGUAUAGCUUUUCCAGGUGACUUUUGUUUUCACCCACGAGAAUUUUUAAAAGCAAAGACAGGGA